ACGCGUGGAUUGCGAGGCUGUGAGGCGUCCGACUCAGGACUCGGAAAAGCAGCAAGAUCUCAGUAUGCCUCGGGCCACGGUGAAGGGAGGAUGUACGUUCGAGCUUUCUGACCUGACCACCACGUGACCUUUGAUAUUUCGGUGUGGUUGAUUGUGAUACACGCUUUCUCGCGCAGAGUCUUGUGGUGGACGAGCAGCGGGUUUGAGGGAAUCUGCAUGGGAGGAGGAGGAGGAGGAGAACUGUGAUGCAAACAAACAUUGGUGUACUGCGGGCGCCGCCUUGAUGGACGAGUAAUUACGAUAUCACCAUUCUGCCGCUCGGUGACUGCCAAGCAAACAGUCGGCAGGGUAAUGAAGUGAAACAACAAAAACAAGGUGAGGCGAAGAAAACAAAGACGAAAACCAAAGGCGACCAGGAGGAAAGAAGAAAGGAAGAAAGGAAUAAGUGUUUAUAUGCGCGCUUACUGAAGAAAAAGAGGAGACCAUACGAAACACAAGAAAGGCGGGGAAAGUUUACAGAUAAAGUAGAGUGAAGGAGGGCGAGGCAAGUAGUUAAGGAAGAGUGCCUUAACGAGGAAGUGUUACUGUCUUUUGCGACCUCAUUUAGCAAACAGGCACUCAGCGACACACCCACAAGACAGAACGUAACACGAACGCCCUAUCGAGGUGUUACUGUCUUUCCACGCUCUUAGCAAACACCCAGUCAUUCAAACAAAACAGCGACACCGGACAAAGCAGGUCUACACUUCAAGGUCACGGCAGUUCACCUCUAGCACACGACACAAGUCACUACAUAUCCUUAUCACCGGAGAAUCAAUUGUUACACACCCACGAGACUUUCAAAGCUAAACGGUGCACUCAAAAUAAACUGGGAACCUUUUGACGCGUUUACUGAUGUACACACUCGCUGUCCUCGCCACCACGCUACCUCGAAAACACGGGUCACGGCUUCACGUUGCGUAGAGGGCUGAACGCAAGAGUAAGGUAUAUUGAAACACUAGAAACGUACACUAAUUGACUGGAAACACACGAGGAAAAAAAAAUGUAAACUCGAGAACAAUUAUUAGGAGCGUUGAAACACAUAAGAUGUAAAUGAGUGAGUGAUGAAAGAAUAGAAACACAAGAGGGAGAUGAAUAUAUAAACACGAAAGGAGGAAGGAAAAUCGAAACACAUAAGACCUAAGGCAAAUAAGAACCGAGUACGAGUCAGUUCGAUCAAAAUACAAAUGGAAAGAUAAACCACAGAACAAAAUGAAAUUGAUACAUUCGAAAAAAGAGAAACAAAAAAGGAAAUAAAUACAAGUCAUGUAAUGUAUUGAGUCUCUAGGGAAAUGUGAAAAAUAACAGAAAAUAAAUAUAAAUAACAAUAAUCACAUAUCUCAAGUGGAUGUUUUCUUUCGUAAAUUCAACGAAAAUUAAAUAGGAAAAUUUGCACAAACACUUUAAAAUGUGUUGACGUGUCUUCACGUGUAAAAAAUAAUGCGGUAAAAGAGAGAGAGAGAGAGAGAGAGAGAGAGAGAGAGAGAGAGAGAGAGAGAGAGAGAGAGAGAGAGAGAGAGAGAGAGAAACGAAGAAAAAGCUCAGAAAAAAAAUUGUAACGGGUUUUUGUAACUGAAAACUCGCCGAGGCAGAAAUUAAGUGCAACUCUAAACACUGACGCUGCGACAAAUACAGGAAAAGAGAAAACGAGAGAGGGAGAGAGAAAUAGAAAAAAGAAACGUUAAUUUUUGCCAGUCACUUUUGUUUUAGUGCACGUGAUUUGAGUGGACUGUCCUCACUUUUGUGUGUGUGUGUGUGUGUGUGUGUGUGUGUGUGUGUGUGUGUGUGUGUGUGUGUGUGUGUGUGUGUGUGUGUGUGUGUGUGUGACCAGCAUUGAGUCGCACACAUACCCAUCACUCCCCCACCCACCCACACUCCCUCUAUGUUGACCUUGGGAAGUCCCUCGCAAACACAGCCUAGAUCUGGGACCCCCGUGCUCAUCCGCUUGAGAGGGGAAGGCAGCACACACCACGCCUCCGCUGUUUACCUUGUGACGGCCUGUCGGGGAAGGGCCGCCUGACUGGAUGUGGUGAAGGAAGCGGUGCAAGCAGCGGUGGUGAUAGUGCUGGUGGUGUCAACGCUCACCUGUCAGUAGCAGCCUUGCUUUCCCGGUGUGUGUCAAGAAAAGUGUGAGGCAGUAAGGGGUGAGAGGGAGAUUUGCUGCUGCAGAGGCGCAUAAGUGAGGCGGUGUGUCGCUGUCGUUGGUGAAAAGCAGAAAGCAGAAACGUUUCAGUCUAACAAGUCACACCGCCUGGGAACAUUUUUUUUAUUUUCUUUUUUAACUCCGCCCUGCAGGAACAUAUUAAAUUGACACUAUAUUUCCUCUAGCAUUUCACAUCUGUUGGGAACAUUUGAUCCUCACACAACCCUCCAGGAACGCUUUUGUCUUAACACAACCCAAACUUCCCUGCAACGUUUCAACACCGCCUCUGAAAAAAAAAAGUGUUGCCGGUCUAACAAUUUACAAUCUCCAAAAAGGUUUCUUCCUGACACUGCCUUGAGCAACGCUGGUGUCAAUUCAAUACCUCCAAAUAACGCUGCAACACCAUUCAUCCAGAUUUGUAUUUACCACCUGAACCACAGAAACGUUUUUUAUCCAAUCACUAAAACUCCCCAAGAACGUUUACCCUUACGCCUCACCAACCUGCGGAACGUUUCAUCCUCUUCCUCCCCAAGGACACAUCGCUUCCCUAUCACUCUCCCUUCCUCAACCUUCCGCCAUAAGCAAUCAGGAGGCGCAGCAGGGCAGUGAUCGCUCUCUCCAGGAAGUGAAAAAAAGGUGUAGUGAGGUAAAGGCCGGAGGAACACAAGACUACUGGACUGAGAGAAUCAAGAAACAGCCUGAAGGAGGAGCUAAAGGAGGGUUAAGAAACACUUCAUUCUAACGCCCAAGUAACGGUGCUCAUGUAAUGCUCUUGGUGACGGCAAUUCAACACCAGACUUACGGACAUUCAUGAACUUAUACGCACGUUGAAAGGCUCAUUAUAACUGUGCUCUAGAACGUGUAGUAAACAAAGACUCCUCAGCCUCUUAAUCACAUCUUUAGCCACCACCGUUUUCGCGUCCCAAAGUAGCGAUGGUUCAUGUAACGUAACGAUUAUAACGCAGUAACGAAGCGAAUUGAACUGCUCUGCUAGUUGGUGAUGCUAGUAGUGCUGCACUGACUCCAAUGCAACAGUAGCAACGCUAUUAUAGUAAUGACAGGACACAGACAAGGCUGAUAAUGUCACGCGGAGAGAAGAAAUAGUGCUGUGAUUGCCUUUGUGACGCCAAGCUGGCAGUAAUGAGUCUAUAGCUGCUCUAGCGAUGUUAAGAGAACGCCAUUGAUGCCAAGAGUGUGCCAGUGAAGCUAAGUGUGCCAGUAGAGCUAAAAGCGUGCUGAUAAACCUAAGAGACUGCUAUUAACGUUGAGGGUAAGUCAGUAAUGGUGUGAGUGCCCCAUCAACACUAUUCGGAGAGUAUAUAGAACCUGUAAGUGGAUAAUACUAUAGUAGUGGCGAUAUCAAAAGAGUAGUUGUGUCAUUUGCGUUAAGCCAUUAGCGCCAUCUAGUGAGUAGGACUUGUAGGAGAAUGAUAGAAGUGGUGCCAGCAGAGUAGUGACAAGAGUAACAGUAACCGUAAGAGUGCAUUAUGUGUUAAUGAUGAUAUCGCUGGAAAGACAAUAGUAUUAACUCUUUACAUGCUGUUGUAAGAUUAGUUGCCAGUGUUCUGGGAGAGAGUGAAGCAUCUCUAUUAGUUAUGAACGGAUAACAAGGCUGCAUUCAUUAUAAUCGGAGCAGCGAGUUAAGAGAUAGUAAUGCAAGAGUGGCUGAUACACCCCACGUGGUGGUGUUUCCAGUGGCAGUAGUAGUGAUGGCGGUGGUGCUGCAGUGUGUCGCCCCCUAGAAGUUCUUUCCUCUGUAAUGUCAGCCAGGCAGUGUUGGUGUCGUGUCCGUGAUGUCAUUCAAGAUUCGCCACGGCACGUGUAGACACUGACACUGGAGCCUCUGAAACAAGUGCGAGGGACUGAAUUCUGAGAAAGCUCACGUGUGUGACUUGAGUGCAUCUGACUAACGCCGCUGUGUCGCUUCAAGUAUGACACAGCAGUGAGUGUGGCCAAAGCUCUGGAGUUUCUCUGGCGAGCGUGAGAAUGUUCUGAAGGACACCACGGAGACAGUUAAGUCUGGUGUUAGUGACGUGUGUGUCAUGUUUCCAGACACUUCUUAUAUGGAAACAGAAUAAGAAAAAAAAGAAAGGAAAGCACAUUACUUGAAGAACUUCAGAAAAUCUCCCUCUCCCAACCCCGCCUGUGUGAUAGCACAGGCGAGUUGGUGCGUAGUGGCGGCAGCUGCGGGGCCGCAGUGGUUAGUGUUGUGUGAUACACGUGCAAACAGGAAUGAAAAAUUUACAAAAAUGGCAGUGAACAUGAGACAAUAGGUCCGCGAGUGUCAAGGGCGCGGCGUGAGGGAGUGACUGGUGCUCGAGAAACACUUGAUUAUAAGCGGCGAAGAGCAGGGAGACGCCCACGGCCGCCUCGACCCUCCAGCAUGACGCAGGAGCGGCGACCCCGGCCACGGCUACUCUCCUGCUGCAAUUGCCUCAACAAGAGCUCCUCGGGUCCUCUGAGCCCCGUGGAGGAGUCCAGACCUGAAAUACCUGACACGGGGACCACCAUCACCACUACGCCCACUUGUGAGUAACGUCCCC